rnacentral:rRNA from 1 species
AUACGGAGGGUGCGAGCGUUAAUCGGAAUUACUGGGCGUAAAGCGUGCGUAGGCGGAUUAUUAAGCAAGAUGUGAAAGCCCAGGGCUCAACCUUGGAACUGCAUUUUGAACUGGUAGUCUAGAGUACUGUAGAGGGUGGUGGAAUUUCCAGUGUAGCGGUGAAAUGCGUAGAGAUUGGAAGGAACAUCAGUGGCGAAGGCGGCCACCUGGACAGAUACUGACGCUGAGGCACGAAAGCGUGGGGAGCGAACAGGAUUAGAUACCCCAGUAGUCC